rnacentral:rRNA from 1 species
CGGUGACAAACCGGAGGAAGGUGGGGAUGACGUCAAAUCAUCAUGCCCCUUAUGAUUUGGGCUACACACGUGCUACAAUGGACAAUACAAAGGGCAGCGAAACCGCGAGGUCAAGCAAAUCCCAUAAAGUUGCUCUCAGUUCGGAUUGUAGUCUGCAACUCGACUACAUGAAGCUGGAAUCGCUAGUAAUCGUAGAUCAGCAUGCUACGGUGAAUACGUUCCCGGGUCUUGUACACACCGCCCGUCACACCACGAGAGUUUGUAA